CAUCGCCCGUACCGAACGACUGCCGGCCGUCGCCUCGAGACGACGCGCGCGCCCGUCGGGCGCGUCGGCCUCGUGCGAUGCCGGCGUCGGUUAGGAAUGC
rnacentral:misc_RNA from 1 species